rnacentral:rRNA from 1 species
GGGGGAUAUUGCACAAUGGGGGAAACCCUGAUGCAGCGACGCCGCGUGGAGGAAGAAGGUUUUCGGAUUGUAAACUCCUGUCGUUAGGGACGAUAAUGACGGUACCUAACAAGAAAGCACCGGCUAACUACGUGCCAGCAGCCGCGGUAAAACGUAGGGUGCAAGCGUUGUCCGGAAUUACUGGGUGUAAAGGGAGCGCAGGCGGGAAGACAAGUUGGAAGUGAAAACCAUGGGCUCAACCCAUGAAUUGCUUUCAAAACUGUUUUUCUUGAGUAGUGCAGAGGUAGAUGGAAUUCCCGGUGUAGCGGUGGAAUGCGUAGAUAUCGGGAGGAACACCAGUGGCGAAGGCGGUCUACUGGGCACUAACUGACGCUGAGGCUCGAAAGCAUGGGUAGCAAACAGGAUUAGAUACCCUGGUAGUCCAUGCCGUAAACGAUGAUUACUAGGUGUUGGGGGAUUGACCCCCUCAGUGCCGCAGUUAACACAAUAAGUAAUCCACCUGGGGAGUACGACCGCAAGGUUGAAACUCAAAGGAAUUGACGGGGGCCCGCACAAGCAGUGGAGUAUGUGGUUUAAUUCGAAGCAACGCGAAGAACCUUACCAGGUCUUGACAUCCGAUGCAUAGCACAGAGAUGUGUGAAAUCCUUCGGGACAUCGAGACAGGUGGUGCAUGGUUGUCGUCAGCUCGUGUCGUGAGAUGUUGGGUUAAGUCCCGCAACGAGCGCAACCCUUAUUGCCAGUUACUACGUUAAGAGGACUCUGGCGAGACUGCCGUUGACAAAACGGAGGAAGGUGGGGAUGACGUCAAAUCAUCAUGCCCUUUAUGACCUGGGCUACACACGUACUACAAUGGCGUUAAACAAAGAGAAGCAAGACCGCGAGGUGGAGCAAAACUCAAAAACAACGUCUCAGUUCAGAUUGCAGGCUGCAACUCGCCUGCAUGAAGUCGGAAUUGCUAGUAAUCGCGGAUCAGCAUGCCGCGGUGAAUACGUUCCCG